rnacentral:rRNA from 1 species
UACGGGGGGGCAAGCGUUGUUCGGAAUUACUGGGCGUAAAGGGCUCGUAGGUUGCCAACUAAGUCAGACGUGAAAUCCCUCGGCUUAACCGGGGAACUGCGUCUGAUACUGGAUGGCUUGAGUUUGGGAGAGGGAUGCGGAAUUCCAGGUGUAGCGGUGAAAUGCGUAGAUAUCUGGAGGAACACCGGUGGCGAAGGCGGCAUCCUGGACCAACACUGACACUGAGGAG